GUCGAACGCUGGCGGCGUGCCUAAUACAUGCAAGUCGAGCGAGCGGCGGACGGGUGAGUAAUGUAUGGGGAUCUGCCCGAUAGAGGGGGAUAACUACUGGAAACGGUGGCUAAUACCGCAUACUAUCGGAUGAACCCAUCUGGGAUUAGCUAGUAGGUGGGGUAAAGGCUCACCUAGGCGACGAUCGCUAGCUGGUCUUAGAGGAUGAACAGCCACACUGGAACUGAGACACGGUCCAGACUCCAAAGGGAGGCAGCAGUGGGGAAUAUUGCACAAGGGGCGCAAUCCUGAUGCAGCCAUGCCGCGUGUAUGAAGAAGGCCUUAGGGUUGUAAAGUACUUUCAGCGGGGAGGCGUUACCCGCAGAAGAAGCACCGGCUAACUCCGUGCCAGCAGCCGCGGUAAUUC
rnacentral:rRNA from 1 species